UACGUAGGGACCAAGCGUUGUUCGGCUUUACUGGGCGUAAAGGGCGCGUAGGCGGCGUGACAAGUCACUUGUGAAAUCUCUGGGCUUAACCCAGAACGGCCAAGUGAAACUGUUGUGCUAGAGUGCAGAAGGGGCAAUCGGAAUUCUCGGUGUAGCGGUGAAAUGCGUAGAUAUCGAGAGGAACACCAGAGGUGAAGACGGGUUGCUGGGCUGACACUGACGCUGAGGCGCGAAAGCCAGGGGAGCAAACGGG
rnacentral:rRNA from 1 species